rnacentral:lncRNA from 1 species
UUCAUGUGUAAACAUAGUUUGUUUUCAGAAUAUGUCUUAGAAAAUCUGUCCAGUUUUGUUGGUUUUAUGUUCCUUAAGUGACAUCCUAUUAUGUUUUAUGCAAAAUUUCAUCCUUUUCCAUUAAGAUAUGAAGGAGAAAAUGAAGUACAAACUUUGAUAAAGUCUGUUCCAAACGAAAUUUACUCUUACUAAACUCCUGUUACAACAUAGGAAUAUGGUAAUUUAUUAUCAGUCUAAUUUAUCUUGACUUAUCUUUAUCUUUUUAAGAGAUAUAUCUGUUUUACCAGUUUUUUCUUGACUUAUAUUUUUCUUAAUCUUUCUUCUGUCCUUCCCUUUCAGUUAUGCCUCUAAGGGAUUGUCUUUAACCUACAUAUUGCUUUGUAUACUGUCAACUAACUAAGACAAUAGAAAUUUUGAUGAAAGUUUUGUAACAGGAAAUUUAUAAAAAUGACCACAUAAUUGAUAUUCAUGUCAACAUCGAAGUGCUGACUACUGGGCUGGUGAUACCCUCGUAUAAGAUUGUGCGUUUUCAUAACUGAUUUUAAACUAUUCAUUGGUUUUAUAUUUUUGUUUUUAUAGCUUGUGAGUUUCUAUUAAAAUUUGCCAGUGCGUCGUUCAUAUUACCUCCUAUUAUGACAGUUCCAGUUUCAUAAUUACUUAUGAAAUCAGACAGAUUUUUAUAGAACUCUCUUAUCGGGAGACUUCAAAAUCCAAGACAUCUGCUGGAAAAAAAACACCAUAGCUGGUCAUCAAUAUGCACAGAAAGUCAAUCAACUAUCUUUAUACCUACAUGUAUCACAUGAUUUUGGGUAUAACAGAUUGUAGAUUUCCCUACUCGACAAGAAAAUUGUCUUGAUCUUCUUUUUACUAGUCACCCAGCAUUUUAACUAUGUUGUAAAAAACUACCAUCACUUAGUGACAAAAGUGACCAGGCCAUAGUCCUUUAUGAUACUACCCACUAAGUCUCAAAGAAAAGAAAAACAAUGUAGGAAAAUUAUUCUUUGGAAAAAGAUGAAUGAAACUGCACUUAGAUCGUCAACUACAGAAUUCGCUACACAAUUCAGAUGCUCAUUUGAAAGCAUAAAUGACAUCCGGAUCAACGAAAUUGGAAUCAUUAAGCUAUUAAAGGGACUUAACCAAUAAAAAGUGUCUGAUCCAGAUACCAACCCAGUUCCUGAAAACAUUUGCAACUGAGAUCUCACCAGCACUCACCCUACUAUUCCAGUAUUCCAUCAACUCAGGGACAGUUCCAUCAGACUGGAUUUUCAACACAAAUUGAAUUUUAUGGGUUCUUUGAUAUGCUAAAUCUAACCGUGUAUUUAGAUAUUUGGAUUUUGGGCCCUGUUUUGAAUUGAUCCACAUUGAGGUCCAAAUUAGGGGUCCAAACUUAAAUUUGGUUGGAGUUCAUAAAAAAUUGAAUUAUUGGUGUUCUUUGAUAUGUCGAAUCUAACCAUGUAUUUGAAUUUGGAAAUUUGACCAUAAUAGGUAAAUGUACAAUAUAAAAGUUAAAAGUUCUUAGACCACAUUCAUUCUGUGUCAGAAAUCUAUGCUGUGUCAAAUAUUUAAUCACAAUCCAAAUGCAGAGCUGUAUAACCUUGAAUGUUGUGUCUAUACUUGCCCUAACAGAACAGGGUUCGACCUCUGCGGUCGUAUCAAGCUGCUUCCGGCGGAGCAUUUUUUUCAAAUUUCAGAUAUUGAAAAAUUUCAAGACGUAAUCUUUUAUUGCACAGUAUUGCGCAUUAUAUUUGUCAAAUCUUUGACCACAUUUAGUUUGUAUUAGAAACCUCUAUUAUGGCAACAAUUUGAUUACAACACAAAUUCAGAUAGUAUGAAGCUUGAAUAUUAUGUCAACAUUUGCCCCAACUGUUCAGGGUUCGACCACUGCGAUCGUAUCAUUCUGCGCUUAGCAGAUCAUUUCAAUUUGAAUAUUAUUAUGUACCCGACCAUGUCCACCUGUAGUUGUAGUAUUUGUAUUUUUAUCCAUCUGAUGAGUUAAGUCUCUUUCAACUGAUUUUCAUAGUACGUUCUUAUGUUGUACUGUUACACCACUGUCCCAGGUUAGGGGAGGGUUGUGAUCCAGCUAACAUGUUUAACCCCACCACAUUCUGUAUGUAUGUACCUGUCCCAAGUCAGGAGCCUGCAAUUCAAUGGUUGUCGUUUGUUUAUGUGUUACAUAUUUGUUUUUCGUUCAUUUGUUGUACAUAAAUUAGGCCGUCAGCUUUCUCGUUUGAAUUCUUUUAAAUUGUCAUUUCGUGAAGUAACAAUUUUAUGUGUCGUAGUUAUUUGAAUUUUUUAAUCAUGUUCAUGUGUAAACAUAGUUUGUUUUCAGAAUAUCUCUUAGAAAAUCUGUCAAGUUUUGUUGGUUAUGUUCUUUAGUGGCAUCUAUUGUUUUAUGCAAAAUUUCAUCCUUUCCCAUUAAGAUAUUAAGGAGAAAUGUGUACAAACUUUUCAAAGUCUGUCCAAAACCAAAAUUUAUUUAGCUAAACUCCUGUUACAACAUAGGAGUAUGGUAAUUUUUUAUCAGUCUUAUUUAUAUUUAGUUAUCUUUAUCUUUCUAAGAGAUAUAGCUGUUUUACCAGCUUUAUCUAGACC